UACGAAGGGUGCAAGCGUUACUCGGAAUUACUGGGCGUAAAGCGUGCGUAGGUGGUUCGUUAAGUCUGAUGUGAAAGCCCUGGGCUCAACCUGGGAAUGGCAUUGGAAACUGGCGACCUAGAGUGCGGUAGAGGGUAGUGGAAUUCCCGGUGUAGCAGUGAAAUGCGUAGAGAUCGGGAGGAACAUCCGUGGCGAAGGCGGCCAGCUGGGCCGGUCCUGACGCUGAGGCGCGAAGGCGUGGGGAGCGAACGGG
rnacentral:rRNA from 1 species